AUUGAACGCUGGCGGCAGGCCUAACACAUGCAAGUCGAGUGGUAACACAGGGAGCUUGCUCCUGGGUGACGAGCGGCGGACGGGUGAGUAAUGUCUGGGAAACUGCCUGAUGGAGGGGGAUAACUACUGGAAACGGUAGCUAAUACCGCAUAACGUCGCAAGACCAAAGAGGGGGACCUUCGGGCCUCUUGCCAUCAGAUGUGCCCAGAUGGGAUUAGCUAGUAGGUGGGGUAAUGGCUCACCUAGGCGACGAUCCCUAGCUGGUCUGAGAGGAUGACCAGACACACUGGAACUGAGACACGGUCCAGACUCCUACGGGAGGCAGCAGUGGGGAAUAUUGCACAAUGGGCGCAAGCCUGAUGCAGCCAUGCCGCGUGUAUGAAGAAGGCCUUCGGGUUGUAAAGUACUUUCAGCGGGGAGGAAGGUGUUGAGGUUAAUAACCUCAGCAAUUGACGUUACCCGCAGAAGAAGCACCGGCUAACUCCGUGCCAGCCGCCGCCGUAACAC
rnacentral:rRNA from 1 species